rnacentral:rRNA from 1 species
AACGAACGCUGGCGGCAGGCUUAACACAUGCAAGUCGAGCGCCCCGCAAGGGGAGCGGCAGACGGGUGAGUAACGCGUGGGAACGUACCCUUUGCUACGGAAUAGCUCCGGGAAGCUGGAAUUAAUACCGUAUGUGCCCUACGGGGGAAGGAUUUAUCGGCAAAGGAUCGGCCCGCGUUGGAUUAGCUAGUUGGUGGGGUAAUGGCCUACCAAGGCGACGAUCCAUAGCUGGUCUGAGAGGAUGAUCAGCCACAUUGGGACUGAGACACGGCCCAAACUCCUACGGGAGGCAGCAGUGGGGAAUAUUGGACAAUGGGCGCAAGCCUGAUCCAGCCAUGCCGCGUGAGUGAUGAAGGCCUUAGGGUUGUAAAGCUCUUUCACCGGAGAAGAUAAUGACGGUAUCCGGAGAAGAAGCCCCGGCUAACUUCGUGCCAGCAGCCGCCGUAACAC